CACAGACACACACGCUCUCACUCGCACAGCGCCUGAUCCUGAAGGGCUCUCAACCUGUAGGUAGAAACCAACCCCCUCCCUCACACUCCCCAGCCGAUGACCGGCCAAAGUCCUGGUCACCCACAGAGUCCACUCAACACAAGUAUUUUCUUGACAUUUUGGGGCUUUUACUUCAAUUUGAAGCAGAUGGUUGAGCACAGACGUGAACAGCUUUGGCCAUUUGAGCACAAGGAAGGGGCGGGCCUUGGCUUUGAACACGCAGCCCCCAUCCUCCACAUACUGGCCCAGUCCCCUGGUCCCUUCCUUCUCUGCCCCUGCACACCCUGUAACAGACCACCGCCCUCCAAGUGGGGUGCCAUCUUGCCCAGUAGGACGGCUCCAGCCAACCCAGCCUCUACUCCUUCCUCAGGCCACGGGCAGGCUGAACAAGAGAAAAACUCUUUUUCUGUCCAUGGCAGGGCCUGCCCAUGGUGCUGGCUGCCUGGGAUGGGGGCCCAUGGGGGUGGGUCACAGUGAGGAGAGGCUGGGUUGGCUGGAGC
rnacentral:lncRNA from 1 species